GAAGUUGGAGUUGCUAGUAAUCGCGGAUCAGAAUGCCGCGGUGAAUACGUUCCCGGGCCUUGUACACACCGCCCGUCACACCAUGGGAGUUGGGAGCACCCGAAGCCGGUGAGCUGACCGCAAGGAGGCAGCCGUCGAAGGUGAGACCGAUGACUGGGGUGAAGUCGUAACAAGGUAAC
rnacentral:rRNA from 1 species